UUUAACGGCCGCGGUAUCCUAACCGUGCAAAGGUAGCGUAAUCACUUGUCCCUUAAAUGGGGACUAGUAUGAACGGCUAAAUGAGGAUAGAUCUGUCUCCUUUAACAAAUCAGUGAAACUGAUCCACCAGUACAAAAGCUGGAAUAACCCCAUAAGACGAGAAGACCCUGUGGAGCUUUAAAUUUAACCCAAACAAUAAAACAAAAAUUAGUAUAUGGAUAAAAAUUUUAAGUUGGGGCGACUUCGGAAAAAAACCAAACUUCCGAGCAUAAGACUAUGUCAUACCAAGACCUACAAGUCUAAACCAAAAUUGACCCAGUAACACUGAUAAACGAACCAAGUUACCCCAGGGAUAACAGCGCAAUCUUCUUCAAGAGUUCCUAUCGACAAGAAGGUUUACGACCUCGAUGUUGGAUCAGGACACCCAAAUGGUGUAGCCGCUAUUAAAGGUUC
rnacentral:rRNA from 1 species